rnacentral:rRNA from 4 species
CUCUCGGCAACGGAUAUCCCGGCUCUCGCAUCGAUGAAGAACGUAGCGAAAUGCGAUACUUGGUGUGAAUUGCAGAAUCCCGUGAACCAUCGAGUUUUUGAACGCAAGUUGCGCCCGAUGCCAUUAGGCUGAGGGCACGUCUGCCUGGGUGUCACGUAAAGCUU